UGCAAAGUUUUCAAAUGCUGAUUUAAAAAACACAAAGCACUCUGCAUUUCCUCAGCUGUGUUUAAGAUACCAAAGGGACAGCGUCAUGCCACCUGCGUGCCAAUGGAAGCCUGGUGUCUUUGGGUGGAACCUAGGUAGAUGUUCACAAAUGUGGGCUAUAGAGUACACAGUUGUAAAAACCACACAACUUGGAAAGGAGUGACUGGGUCUUUGUUUUUCUGUAUCUGGAUCAGACAGAAUGAAGAAGUGGAAUGGGCCUGAUAGUCACUGUCACUCUUGGAUCAGCGGAAACCUGUAAACUAGUGCACACAAGUGUUCAGAACCAAAGUUCGACUCGUGGACAAGCAUGGGUAACCCACAUGGCUUGGUUCUUAACUACUGCAGAGUUUUGCAAAAGACUGUCAAAGAGAUGCAAAGCAUUUGGAAUAGCGCUCAAUGGUGUUCACCGAUAAGAUCCAUGCUGGUGCCGGCACUGGAGCGCUUGUCACCAACAGAAAAGUCAUCCAUUUCCCUUCAUUCCUGUGAAUUUAGUCUUUGUUUGGCUUGCUGAGCCCACCCAGAACUUACCUUUUCUGGCAGCUUUAUUUAGGACUGUUUACCAGAUGCAUGCGCCUCACUGUCAAAGCCCAGCAUCCUAAUAUCAACAUUCUGUGCCAGAAGACAUCAGAAGGAAGAGACUUCCAGGACCUUCUCAUCACAGAGAGAAAAGGCUGAGGUCUAGAAGGCUCUGAACUGUCUGCCACAAUCCUGAUCUCAUCUGCUCAGCCCUUCCAUUCCAGCCAUAUCAGCUUCCUUGCUGCACCUUGAACACACCAGGCCAGUGACCAUGGGACCCUUGCAUCUAUGUGCUCUUUUAGUUCCUAUACAUCUCCUAGUAUCCAGGUCUGAGCUAGGGAGGAGCCUGAAGCACAAAGGAGAGGAACUUCAUGGAGCACUGCUGGGGUUUUGGACCCAAGUGGAGAGCUGGAAUCUGGAGCCUUACAAUCAGAGACAAGGAAGCUGGCAUGUGGCUUAAGAAAUCCAGGACAUGAUUCAAAGGGCAGCCACCAGCCAACUGGUAAACAGCAACACCCCUGGGCUGAGCCUGGGGAGCAGUAGGAUGGAUCAGUGCCUUAUUCCAUCAUCGUCAUCAGAGAAGCUUCCUCCUGCAGCAGUGGGAACAGUUGCAGAGACCCACAGCCAGACACUAUGAGGAGACAGAGUCUAAAUGGGAUGUCUCCAUCAAAUCCCUCUGCUCAGUGCUCAGGGAACUCCACAGAAGAGGAGUUGGAAAGAGAGGAUGGAGGACACCAGGAAAACAAGACCCUCUGAAUGAUCUAAGCAAGAUGCACAUGAACUCACAGAGACUGAAGCAGCAAGCACAGGGCUUGCAUGGGUCUGCACAGGUCUGCACCAGGUCCUUUGUGUAUAUAUUAUAGCUUUUAAGCUUAGUAUUUUUAUGGGACUCCUGAGUGUGAGAACAAGUGGGUCUCUGAUUCCUGUGCCUGCUUUUUAGACUCCUUUCUUCCUGUUGAUUUGCUUUAUCCAACUUCUAUGUGAUGAUUUUUGUUUUAUCUGGUUGUAUUUUAUUUUGUCAUGUUUGGUUGUUAUCUCUCAGAAGCCUGUUCUUUUGUAAUGAGAGAUAUAAAGGGAGUAGAUCUGGGGGCUGGGGAAGGGAGGUACAGGGGAACUAGGAGAGAAGAGGGAGGGGAAACUACCAUCAGGAUCUAUUGUAUGAAAAAAGAACCUAUUUUCAAUAAAAUGAAAAAAUUC